AUUAUAAUAUUUAAUUUUAAUUUAUUUUUUUUAAAAGUUUUAUUUUAGCUCAAAAUUCAUUAUUUAUUUAAUUUACAUGUAAAUAUUGAAUUAAAAAUUUUGUAAAGCAGUAAUUUAUAUUAUACAAUUUAAUAAUUUAAGAUAUAGUAAUAUAUAAAAUUUUAACUAAUUUUGUGCCAGCAGUUGCGGUUAUACAAAUAAAAUAAAUGAAUUUUUUUAGAAUUAAGUUAAUAUUUAUUUAUACUUAAUAGUUAAAGAUUAUAAGGUGAAAUUUAAAUUUUUAAAAAUUAAGUGUUAAUUAAAUUUAUGAAGCUUAUAACGUAUAAGUUAAAACUAGGAUUAGAUACCCUAUUAUUUAUAUUAAUUAAAUAAUUCUGGGGUAGUAAUAGAUAUAUUCUUUAAACUCAAAAAAUUUGGCGGUAUUUUAGUCUAUUCAGAGGAACCUGUAAUUUAAUCGAUAUUCCACGUUAAAUCUUACUUAAUUUUAAUAAUUUGUAUAUCGUCGUUAUAAAAUAUUUUUUUAAAAUAAUAAUUUUUAAAAAAUUAGAUAAAAUUAUAUGUCAGAUCAAGGUGCAGUUUAUGUUUAAGAAAUUUAUGGGUUACAAUAAAAUUAUUUAAACGGAUUUUAAGUAUAAAUAAAGAUGAAGGCGGAUUUGAUAGUAAAUUUUUUUAGUAAAUGAAAUUGACUUUAGCUCUAAAAUAUGUACAUAUUGCCCGUCGCUCUUAUUUAAAGUAAGAUAAGUCGUAACAAAGUAGAAGUAUCGGAAGAUGUUUCUAGAAGAUCAGUUAAAUUUAAUAGUUAAUAUUUUCAUUUACAUUGAGA
rnacentral:ncRNA from 1 species